CACCACUAAGCAAGGGGCACCACCAAGCAAGCGGCACCACCAAGCAAGCGGCACCAUGAUGACCAAGGACCUCUCUAAACAGGUAACUAUAGGUCUCUCCUUCGAUCAGAAGCAAGGGCGGUUCUGUGCUAUGUACAAGAUUGCAUCAACUACUCCUAUAAGCAAACAUGCGCAUUUAUCGUUUUCCAACCUCAAGCGAGAGGCGUCACUGGAUCUGUGUGACAAGGUCUGUAGUUGCCCUGUAUUUACCAGAAAAGGUAGCUCAUCCACCAUGGCAGAAGAGGAAGAUCAAGACUGUUGAUUGGGAAUAAGAACAAACAAUGAGGCAUGAGGAUUGGGUGUUGAGGGACCACUUGUCAAAUUGUCCAAGAUGUGUUUGUGUUAUGAUAAACAAUGAGUUUUUUGUUCAAAUAAAGAAGGUGAUACGGCAUUGA